rnacentral:rRNA from 1 species
CCCUUAGAUGUUCUGGGCUGCACGCGUGUUACAAUCGGGAGUACAACAAGAUUGCAAAUCCUAGUGGAUGAGUGGUUCUUCGAAAUUUUCUGAAGACUGGGAUAGUUGAUUGAAAUUAUUCAACUCGAACGAGGAAUUCCUUGUAAUUGUAAUUCAUUAUAUUGUAAUGAAUACGUCCCUGCCCUUUGUACGCACCGCCCGUCGCUCCUACCGAUUGAACGAUCCGGUGAAUUAUUUGGAGUAGCUCUGGAAGUUGCAGAACUUCCUAUGUCACGAAAUUUUGUAAACCUUAUCGUUUAGAGGAAGGAAAAGUCGUAACA